CCACUUUUGUGGAAACGAAGUAAUUGGAACACAAAGAUAUAGGUUUAAUACUUCCAAAAUCAGAACAAUAAUACCCUCUUCAUUCUAAGCCCCAUCACCCAAAAAAACAAAAAACCCUUCAACCUCAGCCAAAUUACCUUCCUUCUCUUUCCUACUAUAUUUUUAUUCUUCCGUGUUUCGUUCUCUCUCUCAGAACCUUUUCUUUCGAUUCACGUUCUAAAAUGGUUGCUUCAAACGUAGUUGUGGUUAUGGAUUUCGAUAAGACGAUUCUCGAUUGCGAUAGUGAUAAUUGGGUGGUGGACAAGUUGGGUGCUACUGAGUUGUUCAACGACCUCUUACCUACUAUGCCUUUGAACUCUCUCAUGGCAAUUUCUCUUUAUUCUUUUUUUUAGUUUUUUCUUUUAAUUUUUCCAAAUCUAAGAACUAGGGUUUAAUCAGUGUUGUUGUUGUUGUUGUUUUUACAAAAUAUAUAUUUCACGACCGAAUGAUGAAAGAACUUCAUAUACAAGGAACCAAAAUUGAAGACAUUGUAGCUGUUUCAAAAAGAACUCCUAUUCAUCCCCGAAUCAUCCAAGCCAUUAAAUCUGCACAUGCUUUAGGAUGUGAUUUGAAAAUCGUUAGUGAUGCGAACGUGUUCUUCAUCGACACAAUUUUAAAACAUCAUGGUUUGAAGGAAUGCUUUUCAGAAAUCAAUACGAACCCAAGCUUCGUGGAUGAAGAAGGCAGGGUAUUGUGAUCGAAAAGAUCCAAAUAUCUUUAUUCGCGGUGGAGGAGAAGAAAACAAUCAUCUACAUGGGGGAUGGAUUGGGUGAUUUCUGCCCCAGUUUGAAGCUUGGAGAUGGAGACUAUAUGUUGCCAAGGAAAGAUUUCCCAAUUUGGGACUUGGUUUGAAAAAACAGGAGCCUAAUAAAGGCUGAAGUUUGCAAAUGGAGCAAUGGGGAGGAAUUUGACCAUGUUUUACACCACUUCAUCACCAAGAUUACCAUUGACAAAAGUGAUGAAGCUAGCCUGCAUGCAGACAAAAAGCAGAGAAGCUGCCCGAGCCAUGCAGUUGCAGCUGAAGUUCAUGUUGCUGAUCUAUUUUGUUACUUCAAGUGUCUGUUUUGCUAAUUAGUUGAAAAUGAACUAAGUUGGUAUUGUUUUGAUGUAAUUAGGUGCUGAUAGAUUGAUAAAUCAACAUAGCUAUGUGUGCAAGUUAUGUUUAA